rnacentral:rRNA from 1 species
GGGCCUACGGGACGCAGCAGUGGGGAAUAUUGGGCAAUGGGCGCAAGCCUGACCCAGCAACGCCGCGUGAAGGAAGAAGGCUUUCGGGUUGUAAACUUCUUUUAAGGGGGAAGAGCAGAAGACGGUACCUCUUGAAUAAGCCACGGCUAACUACGUGCCAGCAGCCGCGGUAAUACGUAGGGGGCAAGCGUUGUUCGGAAUGACUGGGCGUAAAGGGUGUGUAGGCGGUGUAGCAAGUUAGAAGUGAAAUACCUAGAGCUUAACUCAGGUGCUGCUUCUAAAACUGCUAUACUUGAGUGCAGUAG